CUGGAGGUAUCAGAAGUGCGAAUGCUGACAUAAGUAACGAUAAAGCGGGUGAAAAGCCCGCUCGCCGGAAGACCAAGGGUUCCUGUCCAACGUUAAUCGGGGCAGGGUGAGUCGACCCCUAAGGCGAGGCCGAAAGGCGUAGUCGAUGGGAAACGGGUUAAUAUUCCCGUACUUGGUGUUACUGCGAAGGGGGGACGGAGAAGGCUAUGUUGGCCGGGCGACGGUUGUCCCGGUUUAAGCGUGUAGGUGUGUGUUCCAGGUAAAUCCGGUUCACUUUAACACUGAGGCGUGACGACGAGGCACUACGGUGCUGAAGCAACAAAUGCCCUGCUUCCAGGAAAAGCCUCUAAGCAUCAGGUAACAUCAAAUCGUACCCCAAACCGACACAGGUGGUCAGGUAGAGAAUACCAAGGCGCUUGAGAGAACUCGGGUGAAGGAACUAGGCAAAAUGGUGCCGUAACUUCGGGAGAAGGCACGCUGACAUGUAGGUGAAGUGAUUUACUCAUGGA
rnacentral:rRNA from 1 species